UCAUCAUGCCCUUAUGACCUGGGCUACACACGUGCUACAAUGGGCGGUACAAAGGGUCGCGAACCCGCGAGGGGGAGCCAAUCCCAAAAAGCCGCUACUCCAGUUCCGGAUUGCAGGCUGCAACUCGCCUGCAUGAAGCCGGAAUCGCUAGUAAUCGCGGAUCAGCAUGCCGCGGUGAAUACGUUCCCGGGCCCGUUC
rnacentral:rRNA from 1 species